rnacentral:lncRNA from 1 species
ACCUGCUUGCAUUGGGUUCAAACAAAAGCUGAUUAACAAGGAUUUUAGAUAAACGAUCGAUCAUGAAUUGUUGAUGAGUUAAUUAAAUGGUGUUUGGGUUUCAAGAAAUCUCUUCUGGAGAGAGAAAAAGGCUCCGCAGAUGAUUGGACCGACACAGUUCUUUCCCACUCAACAGACAGAGCUGAACCUAACCCCAUCAUGGACAGUUAAACCAUUGCUAUUAUCAUGUCGGUCAGCUGCUUUACUGGUUCCUCUCUCACGUUCUAGCUUCAGCAAAGAAUCACCGGAAGUCUUGAGUGUAUUCCGGUCGCUGGAAUCAAGUUAUCCAUGUUUUGAAAGCAGAGAUGUGUCGAGACAGCUCGUCAAUCGGCUCGCUUACAUCAAAUUUAAACACGGAUGCGUGGUUAUAAUCUUGUAGAUGCUGAAUCCUUCUUAGGAGCGAAACGCUGUUGUAUAACAAGACCUAGCGAUUGGAAUAUACCUUGUUGUACUCGGAAAUCAUGCCGCAGAGCGAGAUCCGGGCACCUUCAUUGACGUGGUUCAACACAGCUUCAAGCAUCUUACCGCCAACGUUGUCAAGGUACAUGUCUAUGCCGUCGGGGAAGUAUCUGCCACAUUUGAAAUUCGAGUAAUUAGCAUACACAUGUACAAUUGUACUGAUGAAAAAUGAGAUUAAUGAGCGAGAACAGGGUUUUAUUUUCAAUUACUUGCUUAAAGCAGCGUCAAGAUCGGUUUCUUUCUUGUAAUUGAAUGCUUCAUCGUAACCAAAUUCCUCCUUCACCAGGAUUACCUAUAAAAAUUACAUUAUUAAUAAGGAUAAUAAAGAUAUACUAUACCACCAGCCGACUAAUUUUAGUUAUGCUUUGGUGCCUUGGAAAUUAAAAAUAGAAGACAUUUAGCUAGCCAGCUCACCUACAAUAUUCAAUUUUUUUUUAAUUUAUCAACAUUACGUGUCAUAAUUAACAAGUCCUUACAUUUAGCAACUCUCUUUUAGAUAUUAUUAACCUAAACUAAUGUGACUUUCUAACUUUCCCACCCAUUUAAUUACGCAUAAUAUUAGACCACUAACUAUUACUUGAGUUAUUACUUAACUGUGCCUCAAAUUUAUCAAUUCGUAAACGAAAUUACUAACUUUAAUUCAAGUGAUUUAUUGACUUUUCUCCGAUUAAAUUAUUGACUAGUUUUGAGUUAUCAAUCCUCAUUUGAGUUAGUUGGCAACAUUUAUUUAUUUCUUUUUUAAUUUACCGAUAUUUGUAAAUAUUUGAUAUUUUAAUAAGGAAAAAAGUUGAUAAUUCAUUCAAAUAAAGAUCGAGAAAUUCAUGUAAGAGUUGGCAUAAUGGACUCUCAUAGGUAAAAGUAUAAAAGCAUGAACUCCUAUCAAUUGGUGAAAAUAUAGGUAAAUCACCAACAAGUUACUUGAAAAUCAAGUAGUUGGUAAAAUUUUUCUACCACCGAGUUUUUCUAUAUUUCACCAACUCUUUUGGAAAUCUAUAGACUCUUAAAGCUCUAGGCAAAGGGUGUCGCCUAGAGUCGACGAGGGCCAUGAUGCCCUUGCCCAAAGUUGGCACGGUCUAGAUCUAAAGGCUAAAAAAAAAAGGAGAAGGAGAAGAAGAAAUCAUACAAAAUUCAAAAUAUUAUUAAAAAAGUGUCACAUCAGCACCGGCCAUCCACGUCAGUAAUUUUCAAUUAAAAUUGGUCGAAUGGACUCAAUUAGUAAAAAGUGAAAAUAUUUAAAACUGAAUUGAUAAAAGUAUGAUAGAUUUAGGACUUUUUGGACAAUUUUCCCGUUUUCAUUACAUAAAGCACAUGAAUCGUGCAGCUAAUUUAGUUCUUAUACUAGCAUUAAUAGGAGUUACAAGCAAACAUUACCUUUUCAUCAGAUCCGGUGCUCCCCACGACCCUACACCCUCUGAGCUUGGCCAGCUGCCCCGCGUACAUCCCCACGCCGCCUGCCGCGGCAGAGAUGAACACAUUCGACCCCGCCUUCGGCUCUCCCAGCACCUCUAUCCCCACCCACGCCGCGAAUCCAGGCACUCCUGUGAAAAUAUGAAAGAGUUUUCCAUCAUGUAAUUAUCCUCCUAUCCUCUUGUUCAUCAUUGUGAACGAAACGUGAGAGCAUAUAAACCUAAGCAACUGAGAUAAUCCGGCAACGGAAUGUCUCCAUUAGGCUCGAUCUUUUUUAUAAUGAAGUCGGAAGGCACUACGCAGUACUCCGCGACCGGUAAGAACGGGCCGGUCACAAUCUCUCCCUUGGCAUACUUAUCGUCCGUCGACUCCACCACCCUUCCAAUCCCAAAACUGGUCACCACCUGCACUUCCCAAAGACACGAGCGCAUAUUUUCACAGAUGAUCUGGUUAUUCAACCUGCCCUUUGGUCAUUUUGUGCGUUUAACUCUAAUGAAUCAACUUAUAGAAGACCUGGUUGAGAUCGAGUUGCGGGGAGUACAGCCCGUCCUCGCGGCCGGUCAUCCGGGAGCGCACGAAGGGCUCGACGGAGAGGAAGAGCAUCUCGAGGGCGACAUGGCGGUCAGGGAUGGAGCCGGCGUCGACUGGGAUCGUUGACGAACGCAACUUCAGAUUAUCAGAAGUCGGGAUCCCUUCCGGUGCGUAGGCUACUAUGUGCCACUCUUUGCUUUCCAUGGUGGUCAUCUUCGCCGUGUUGAUUUCCUCCGAACCACCGCUCGGAUGGAGCUUUUCUCCUUCCUCUCGCUCUUACCAGGGAGCUGUCGCGUCAGGGUAGUUGGAAGUGAGACAAAGCUAGGCCCCCCCUACCUCUACCUCUCUCUCUCUCUCUCUCUCUCUCUCUCUCUAACGUGCACGCACUCUGUGUGGCUUGAAUUCGAUGGAGUAGUCGAUUACCAAACUCAUGAUGCAAACAGCACCACGAAGAGAAGAAAGUGGCAGUACUAGACAAGAACAGAUCAACUACUAUCAUGAUUAUUGUGGACCACUUGUUUCAGGAUCCAGGAACUUUUCUGUACCCUUGAUGAUUCAACCCCCGUGCAGCGACAGCUUACGGGACCGCACCCCAAUGCAAUCAUCAUGGACAUGAAAAACGCGAAGCUUAUCCCUCAUUUUUUGCCGUCCUUACUCAUUGGGAAUGUUAGAGAAUUCGAGAGCAAAAGACCGAUCAGUCGAAUUACGAGAAAUCCAUUGUAAGUGCAAAUGAAGAUGAGGUUCUCGGAAGAGACGUCAUUUGAAUGGGAGGGAAGUUAAUCCUCGAAGAAGCUCUUUUUCUUACGUUUGAACAAGAAAAGGUUAUUGUUCUUUUCUUACCCAUGGACGGUAAGCGCAUUUGACGCGCACGUCCAUGUCACCAUGUACCGGACUUGACCUAUACGAACUCAUGCGACAAAGGCGGAGUCUUCAACCCAUUCUGUCCUUUUCCUCCUUUACGGUGGAACCCAAAAUCAGACCCCGUGACGACCGAUAUAGACUCAGCUACAUGCAUGAUCAGACAUCAACCCCCCUUGAGACCAGCAAUUCCAUGGCAUGGACCCUACUUCAUUCUAGAUGAUGGAGAGUGUGUUGUUAUCUGCGAAUUACGCCAUUAUACACGGUCUCUUACUUCCCGGUGAAUUUGGCAUAAACAGGCGAUCAACGACUUGGAUAUAUGCAUUUUCUAUUUUCAAGAGCAAGGUGGAGCCGGGGACACGAUAAUGUACAAUGCUCUGUCACGCAAUAAAAGCAGAGGAGUAAGGUUCGAGCUUUCCUAACUCGUUUGCCUUUCCACACCUUGCUUAUGUUUCGAGAUCCAGAAUGGGAAAAACAUCCACCACAUAGAAUGCACACUCUAGCCCAAACAGUAGCACGAGUCGAGACUGACACUAAACACAGGAGUAAUUCCAGGGUUACAGUAACUAGCUUACCAAAAUCAGCUUUCUCAAGGGUAUGGCAAACGUCUAAUGCUAAUUUAUUUAAACAACUAAUUCAGAGUUUGCCUUGUCAUUUUAUGAAAUCCGUCUGUUCUAGUAUGCUUUCACUAUUCAAAUGCAUCUCAACCAAACCCCUACAUAUUUAGGAGGAGAGAGAAAGAGAGACAAAAUUAUCCAAGUCUUAUAGAUGCCAUUGACCAGAAUGUAAAAUUAAAGAGGCAUCAAGUAAAAGAGCUAGAUAUCAAGGAUAAGGGGAUGCAAAGAAUUUACAUUUGAAGCUGGCACUGCUUCCCAUACAUAUACAAUGCAAAGCUUUUCAUCAAAGGUUUUAACUAAGUCAUGCUUCAAAGGGAACCGAAAGUAUUCUCGCCGCUGUAGGUCAUGUAGAGAAAGCCAUCUUCAUCCUGUUUUCCUCAUAAAUUGCAGACAUCAUAGCAGCUGCAACAGCACAGAAACAUCGCAAAUCAGUAAAGUUAAUAGUCCAUGACUAACUGUAGGACCUAAUGAAAGACAUUUUCUCAAAGACGAAAAUAGCUUUAUCUGCACUUAGCUUGAUCCUCUUUCGAACGACAUACACAAACUGGCCAACACUAAGGUUAGCAAAAACUAGACACUUGCAUUUGUAGGGUAGAUUCUAGAUUCCAAAAAUUGGGAAACAUGUUUUGACAAAUAGGUUCUCGAUUCUAGAUAAAUGGAACGUGGAACCUGGAACCUGAAACUUGGAAACUGAAAUAAUUUUUUUAUGUUUUUUUUGUUUAUAUCUUUGCGCGAUCCUGCAAUAUUUCAUGGCAUCCAAUGAUGAACGUAUAAUCUGGAAUCACUAAUCCAAGCUUCCAUUUUAUCACUGAGACUUUUAAUUUCUUAAUAUUUCAUAUUAUUCGUGUGUCUAAAUAUAAGUUAUGAUUAGUGGAUUGUAGCAAUGGGUGAUGAUCAUUAAAGGUAAUGAUUUACUACAAAUUUUCAAUUAAUAAUACAAGUGGAACUUGGGUUCCAAGGAUUAUAUAGUAGAUUUUAGAUUCCAAAAAAUGAGGAAUCUGUUUCAACGGUUAUAAAAACCUAGAAUCGCUCACCCUUACCUCAGGGAGGCUACUGGCCAACCCAUGCCUCCCACUAGGCAAGGGCUGCAAUACCCUCCCCGCUUGUGGGCAAGGCCCAAUGGCCAAUGAGAGUCCUCAGUCCUGGUAGAAAAAAAGAAAAGAAAAUAAUAUUAUUAACAAAAUUCAAUUAAAAACUAUAAAAAAAAUUGUUUAUGUUAAUACUAGUCAUCCUACAUGAUAUUACCAGCAUCCACGUUAGCAAUUUCCAAUUAAAGUUGAUCAAUUGGGUUCAAUUGGCAAAAUAUGAAAUGGCUUGUGACUCAAUUGACAAAAUUAAAAGGUUUAAGACUUUUUGAACAAUUUUCCUAGUAAGAAACACACCAAGUAAUCACAUGUUUCACAAAAAUGAAGCAACAUUGAAUUAAACUAAAAGACACAAGAAAAGAUGGAGAAGCAUUAAUGACAAAGUUAUACGAAUAAACGGGGAAAUAAAGAUCAUUAUAUAGGGCAUUUCUUCCCCAAAUUUACCGCAACGGGUCAAUCGAUGAAAUGGGACGGGUAAGGUUCCGACAAAAAUGACUUUAUGAUUGAUAUCCAGUUAGUGACGCAUAUGCACUCAAUGACAAGUAUAUUUGAUAACGUGGCAUUAAAAGCACGAAAAUAUCAUGAAUAAUUUGUCGUUGUUCCUGACAUCUCCUAACAAUAAAGAAAAAUAUGUCGAUUCUAUAGCCAAAAAAUACUUCAACCAUCAUGGCUCUCAAGCCCCCGAGUCGAAUGUUCACCAUAAUUUAAAGGGACUUGUCAUUAUGGUACAUGCUCAUCCCUAGUUGCAUAAGAUCUCUUUUGCUUUCUAAUUCAAUCACAUACAUGCACUUAGGCAACUGAAUAACACUCGUUAUUACUUUUUUUUUUUUGGUCGGUCGUUACUUUGGACUAACUAUCUUAGGGAAAAACCGAAACGUGGAGUACCCAAAAUGCCCCUCGUGAUGCGUAGGGGAUGCGUGGAGCGUACACCUCAAAGGUGAAGGAGAAAAAAACCAAUGGAACGACCCACGUCGCAUGCAAGCCAGAGCGACGUCCCAACUCUCCCCCUGAAAUCCCUCUCUCUGUCUCUCGAAACACCUUGCUUACAAUGAAGAAGAAGAAGAAGAAGAAGACAAGCACCGUAUAGCGGAGUGUGAAAAGAAAUUUCAGCAAGUGUAUUCAUCUCCUUCCUUAAGAGCUUAAGAGUGUUAUUAGAGCUGUGCGACUUUGAUAUACAAUAAUGAACGGCGGCGUCGGCGGCGGCGGCGGCGGCGGCAGAGGCGGUAGGGGAGGAGGAGGGGAGGAGCGGCCGAAGAAGAUACUCAAGAAGGGGAUGUGGAGUCGGCAGGAGGACGAGAUGCUGACGAAGUAUGUGAGGAGGAACGGGGGAGGGAACUGGAACGCGGUGCAGAGGCACACCCCGCUGCUACGGUGCGGCAAGAGCUACCGGCUGAGGUGGGCGAACCACCUGAGGAAGGGCGCCUUCUCAUCGGAGAAGGAGAGCCUCGUCGCCCGGCUCCACGCCAAGCAUGGCAACAAGUGAGCCCACAUGGCCUCCCAGGUCAAGGCUCCUCCUCCUCCUCCUCCUCGCAAGCCCUUUCACGGGUGUCGCGAUUCAAGGCACGUUGCGCGAUUUCGCGGCGGAUUUGGUCAGAAUGGUGUUCUUUAGAGUGUAUCGAUCUCAACGAGAACGUGCAUGCAAUCGCUUCUUGUUUAUCAUCUUUCUUGAGGUGGCCUUUCUCUUCUUUCCUUCUUUUCUUCCCCCUCAUCUUUUCUUUAGCCUUGCCAGGUUGAGGAGGCUUUCCUUUUUUAAUUUUAUGCUUUCUAUUGAUUAGGUUUAUAACUAUUUCAUGCCCCCUCCUGUUCUUAACUUGUGUUUGUUUCGGGAAAGAUUGACGAUUUGAAAAAUAUAUAUUUUCAAAUUCAAUUCCUUGUAUUAUUUACAAAAAUUCGACUCAACAAACAAUAUUUCCAUCAUCAAAAGAGUGUAUUUUUCGAUUGCCUAACUUUUCUGAAUCUUCAUUUUCUUUGAUAUAAGUGAUGAUGAGGAACUGGUUCUGGGGUGUCCCCAUUUGCCUUCGAUUUUUCUCGCUAGAUCAGAGAGGCUGUCCUUUUUAAUUUUAUGUUUUCUAUCUAUUCGCUUCAUAACUAUUGACGCCACACCUCUCAAUUCUCAACAUGCCUUUUUGUUUCGAGAAAAAUCGACGAUUUAAAAUAUGUAUUCUUAAUUUGAUUGUUUAUAUCGCUUGCAAUAAUAGACUAAUGAAAAUUAUUUCUACCAUUAAAAGAAAAUGCCUAGACAAAUAUUAUCUUUUCGAUGAUUAAUUUUUAUGAGCUACAUAAAUAAUUAUUUUUUAGAAAAUAUUUUCUAAAUUAUGAUGAGGAAUUGAUUUUUUGAGGUGUCCCCAUUUUCGUUUAGUCUCCUCACUAGCUUCGCCUUAACAAUGCAAGCCAAAACCCUAGCUCUGAAAGAAGAAGAUGAGAAGAAGGGGGAGAGUUUGGGCGGCGAUCUGCCAAGGCAGCUGCUUCCUCCUCAUUCAGUAAGUACUACAUAUAUUGCAUGUUUGAUAUUUCUCUUUCAUUCUCAUUGGAAAUGCGGUAUGAAUCUCUCUCAUUAAGCAAUAGGUGCGGAACCAACUGAGGAGCUGAUGGACGAGAUCGAUAUCGAUGAUGAAUGGUCUAGUCUCCUCGCUAGCUUCGCCUCAACAACGCAAGCCAAAACCCUAGCUCUAAAGGAGGAGGAGGAGAAGAGUGAGAGUUUGGGUGGCGAUAGUGCUGAGACGGCGCUUUCUCAUCAUUAAGUGAGUAUUGCACAUUGCAUGCUUGGUAUUUCUCUUUCAUUCUCAUUGAAAUGUGGUUUGAAUCUCUCUCAUUAAGUAAUAGGUGUGGAGCCAACUGAAGAGCCGAUGGACGAGAUCGAGUGCAUGGCUGACGAAUUGUCUGGUCUCCUCGCUAGCUUCCCUUCAACAAUGCCAUAUCCAAACUGGUGAUGCCAAGGAGUGGCUCCAUGUUGAUGGACAACUACCACCCAUCCGUGGCAUGUAGGGCGGCCGCCAUCGUAGAAAUCCUCUCUCUCGGUGCAUGAGAGCUAUCAGCUCGGACCUAAGAAGCUAUAAUAAAUAAAACAACAUUCUAGUAUACAUAUGCAAGAUCACUUGAUAUAGACCAAUCCUUUUGUAGCUUAUUGGAAAGGACUUUGUUCAGCCCUACUCUACUAGACAAAUUGAGCGUUAAUACUAUUGAAAUUUCUGUAUUAUUAAUGUUGUUAUUCCGGGUCAGCCAAGCUUUCUUGAUUCUAUAAUUCAAGUUUGUGUUGAAGAACUCAUGUUGGCGUCUGGCCAAGAAAUUGAAUAAAAGGAUAUCUAGUGUGUAAACACUUUGUAUGAUGAUUAUCUUGUAAGUUUUAAAGCAAUAACCCCUUUUUUUACUAAGGUAGACUUGCAUACUUAAUUGGGAGGUUCGGUCCAAAUACAGCGAAAUUAUGAAUAAGAUGAGUCGGUCUCGAAUAUAAGAAAACACCGAGCUCAUCUGUUCAAUCUUGCGAUAUACAUCACAAGGGCUUGACUUGAAGGAUGACCUUGCCCAUGUUAGAGCUCGAGAAAACGGACUGCAAGCUCACCAAGAAGCUCUCGACACCAUAAUAGAUCUUGUGCUUGGACCUGAUCCUGCCUUGCCUCAGGUGACCCUCCAUCUGCUGAGCGAAGUCCCCGAACCUCGCCAGGUGCGAUGGCGAGCCCACCAUGAAUCCUUCCAUCCUCACGCCCUUCCCCACCAUGUUCAGGAGGUUCCUGACCCCUUCCCUCUCUGUCCACACCUGCUUGCAUUGGGUUCAAACGAAGGCUGAUUAACAAGGAUUUUAGAUAAACGAUCGGCCAUGAAUUAUUGAUGAAUUUUUAAAUGGUUUUUUGGUUUCAAGAAAUCUCUUCUAGAGAGUGGAAAAGGCUCCGCAGAUGAUUGGACCGACACAGCUCUUUCCCACUCAGCAGACAAAUAGCUGCACCUAACCCCAUCAUGGACAGUUAAACCAUUGCUAUUAUCAUGUCGGUGAGCUGCUUUACUGGUUCCUCUCUCACGUUCUAGCUUCAACAAAGAAUCACCGGAAGUCUGAGUGUAUUCCGGUCCCCAGAAUCAAGUUAUCCGUGUUUUGACAGCCGAGAUGUGGCUAGAUGGCUCAUCGAUCGGCUCGUUUACAUCAAAUUUAAACAUGGAUGCGGGGUUAUAGUUUUGUAGAUUCUGACUUGUUCUUAGGGAUGCGACGCUGCUGAAUGAUGAGACAUAGGGACCGGAAUAUACCUUGUUGUACUCGGAAAUCAUGCCGCAGAGCGAGAUCCGAGCACCUUCGUUGACAUGGUUCAACACGGCUUCGAGCAUCUUACCGCCGACGUUGUCAAGGUACAUGUCUAUGCCGUCGGGGAAGUAUCUGCCACAUUCGAAAUUCAAGUAAUUAGCUUACGCACAUACAAUUGUGCUGAUGGAAAAUGAGAUUAAUGAGUGAGAACAGGGUUUUAUUUUUAAUUACUGGCUCAAAGCAGCGUCAAGAUCGGUUUCUUUCUUGUAAUUGAAUGCUUCAUCGUAACCAAAUUCCUCCUUCACCAGGAUUACCUAUAAAAUAAAAAUUACGUUAUUAAUAAGGAUAAUAAAGAUAUAUGUAUGCCACAAGCCAAAUUAUUCUAGUUAUGCUUUGGUGCGUUGGAAAUUAAAAAUAGAAGACAGUUAGCUAGCUUGAUGCUCACCUACCAUAUUCAAUUUUUUUUUUAUUUAUCAACAUUAUUUAUCAUGAUUAACAACUCCUCACAUUUAACAACUCUCUUUUAGAUAUUAUUAACCUAAAUUAACGUGACUUACUAACUUUUCCACCCGUUAAAUUACGCAUAAUAAUAGACCACUAACUAUUAUUCAAGUUAUUUCUUAAUCGUGCCUUAAAUUUACCGAUUCUUAUAUGAAAUUACUAACUUUAGUUUUGCUUAUAUAUCGUCUUUUUUCUAAAUAAAUUAUUGAGUAGUUAUGAGUCAUCAACCCUCAUUUGAGUUGGUUGGCAAUUUACUUAGUUUUGUCAACAUCCGUAAAGAUUUGAUAUUUUAAUAAGGAAAAAAAUUGAUAAUUCAUUCAAAUAAAGAUUGAGAAAUUCAUAUAAGAGUUGGUACGAUGGACUCUUCUAGGUAAAUGUAUAAAAGUAUGAGCUCCUAUCAAUUGGUGAAAGUACAGGUAAAUCACCGAUAAGUUACUUGAAAAUUAGGUAAUCGAUAAUUUUAUUUUACCACCAAUUUCUUCUAUAUUCACCAAUUCUCUAGGAUCCGACCAAAAAAAAAAAAAAAAACUCUCUAGGAAAUCUACAGACUUGCAAAGAAAAUCCUUUUUUUUAACAAAAUAACAAAAUUAUCCCUACUAGAAAUAUUAUCCAUUUAUCCUUCUAAUUUUGUGGGGUUAUCUAAUAGAGGUAACUGACGCGGCAUCCUCUAAGCUAGUCAUUUAAGAUAAACUCGAUAAAGCCAACUUGGAAUUUGGACGACACAUGAUGAUUUCAUUACAUUAAGCACAUGAAUUAUGCAGCUAAUUUAGUCCUUAUACUCACAUUAAUAGGAGUUAUAAGCAAACAUUACCUUUUCAUCAGAUCCGGUGCUCCCCACGACCCUACACCCUCUGAGCUUAGCCAGCUGCCCCGCGUACAUCCCCACGCCGCCGGCCGCGGCAGAGAUGAACACGUUCGACCCCGCCUUCAGCUCUCCCAGCACCUCUAUUCCCAGCCAUGCUGCGAAUCCAGGCAUUCCUGCGACGGUACCGGAGCAAAAUCAAUCGUUGGGUCCAAUUUUUGGAAAUCUUCCACCGUGCAAUUAUCCUAUUCUCUUGUAUCAUCAUUGUAAACGAAACAUGAGAGGAUGGUAUAUACCUAAGCAGCUGAGAUACUCCGGCAACUCAACGUCUCCAUUAGGCUCGAUCUUGCUUAUAAUGAAAUCAGAAGGCACCACGCAGUACUCUGCGACCGGUAAGAACGGGCCGGUCACAAUCUCUCCCUUAGCAUACUUAUCGUCCGUCGACUCCACCACCCUCCCAAUCCCAAAAGCCGUCACCACCUGCACUUCCCAAAGACAUGAGCGCAUAUUUUCACAGAUGAUCUGGUUAUUCAAUCUACUCUAGUGAUUCAGCUCAUAGAAAACCUGGUUGAGAUCGAAUUGAGGGGAGUACAGCCCGUCCUCGCGGCCAGUCAUCCGGGAGCGCAUGAAGGGGUCGACAGAGAUGAAGAGCAUCUCGAGGGCAACAUGGCGGACAGGGAUCGAGGCGGCGUCAACCAGGAUCCUCGCGGCGCACGACUUCAGGUGGUCGGAAGUCGGGAUCCCUUCCGGCGCGUGGGCUACUAUGUGCCACUCUUUGCUCUCCAUGGUGGUCAUCUUCGCCGUGUUGAUUUCCUCCGAACCACUGCUCGGUUGGAGCUUUUCUCCUUCCUCUCGCUCUCACCUUGGAGCUGCCGUAUUACCCCCUACCUCUCUCUUUCUCUGUCUCUAUACCGCGCGCGCUAUGUGGGGCAUGAAUUUGAUGGAUUAGUCGAUUACCAACUGAUGAUGCAGACAACAAUACGAAUAGAAAAAAGUGGUAGGACUAGAUUAGAACAGGUCAACUACUGCCAUGACUGUUCUGUACACUCGAUGAUGCAACCCCGUGCAGCGACAGCUUACAGGGACCGCACCUCAGUGCAAUCAUCAUGGACAUGAAAAACGCGAAGCUUAUCCCUCAUUUUUUGCCGUCCCUACUCAUUGGUAACGUUAGAGAAUUCGAGAGCAAAAAGACCGAUCAGCUUAACUACGAGAGAUUCAUGUGAGUGCUAAUGAAGAUGAGGGCCUUGGAAGGGACGACGUUAUUUAAACGGGAGGGGAGUUAAUCCAUGAAGACGUUUUCUUACGUUUGAACAACAAAAGGUUAUCGUGCGUGUGCAAAUUGACGCUGAGCGUGUUUCAUGCGCAUAUCCGUGUCACUAUGUACCGGCCUCAACCUAUAAGAAUGAAUGCGACAAAUGUAGAGUCUUCAACCCAUUCUGUCCUUUUCCUCUCUACGGUAGAAAGCAACAUCAGACCCCGUGACGACCGACACUCGCCGUUUUGUGCGCACAAUGAGGACGGACUCAGCUACAUGCACGAUCAAAAAUCAACCCCUUGAGACCCGCAAUUCCAUGGCGUCGACCCCACUUCCUUCCAGAUGAUGGCGAGUGUGUUGUUAUCUGCAAAUUACACCAUCAUAUAUGGUCUCUUACUUCCCUGCGAAUUUGACGUGGCAAUCAACGACAUCAUGGAUUUAUGCAUUUCCUCUUUUCAAGAGCAAGUACAAUGCUCCGUCGCACCAUAAAAGCAGAGAAGGAAGCUUCGAGCUUUCCUAACUCGUUUGCCUUUUCACACCUUGCUUAUGUUUCCAGAUCCAGAAUGGGAAAAACAUCCACCAUAUAGAAUGUAUACUCAAACCCAAAUAGUAGCAUGAGUCGAGACUGUCACUAAACACGAGUAAUUCCAUGGUCACAGUAACUAGCUUACCAAAAUCAGCUUUCUCAAUGAUAUGACAAACGUCGAAUGCUAAUUUAUUUAAACUAAUUCAGAGUUUGCCUCGUCGUUUUAUUAUAUUUUUGUUCUAGUAUAUCCUUUCAUGAAUCAAAUGACAAUCAUCUCAACCAAAACCCUGCAUAGUUGAGAGAAGAGAGGGAGAGAGGGAGAGAGGACAAAAUUAUCCAAGUCUUAUAGAUGACAUUGACCAGAACGUAAAAUUAAAGGAGCAUCAAAUAAAAGAGCUAGACAUCAAAGAUAAGCGGAUGCAAAGAAUUUACAUUUGAAGCUGGCACUGCUUCCCAUAUAUACAUUGCAAAGCUUUUCAUUAAAGGCUUUUAACUAAGUCAUGCUUCAAAGGGAACCAAAAGUAUUCUCGCCGCUGUAGGUCAUGUAGAGAAAGCCAUCUUCAUCCUUGUUUUCCUCAUAAAUUGCAGACAUCAUAGCAGCUGCAACAACACAGAGACAUCGCAAAUCAGUAAAAUCAAUAGUCCAUGACUGACCGUAGGACCUAAUGAAAGAUCUUUU